CCUCUGCAAUGCAUCAAAUUAAACAAUUAAGGACGCGAAAACCAUAACAGAUUUUGGACAAGGAAACACAUAGGAUGACUAUUUAACAGUUUACUUGUAUUAUUUUCUGAAGAGUUAGCCUAAAGCACUAAAAAAAGAAGGAUCAGUAAAAUUUUCAAUGGCUAUACAGCAGAGGAUCAUGACUAGGAUCCAACAAACUUUAUGACAGAUCAAUAUAAAAGUAUCCAUUGCACUAACAAAGCAAGAAAAACGAGUUAAAAUUGUUACAGUCUGCUGGAGACCACAGACAGGCAUCUCUUUUUUACUAACCUAGUGUGCUCUGACUACAACAGAGAAGAUUAAAGAUGGCAGAAAGUCGGGUCUUCCACGGAUACAAUCUAGUUUAUAACAAGGUUGCCAAGCAUCACACAAAGAACCGUCAAGAAAACUCAUAUGAAACAGGCUUUUCAAAUUAACAGAUAAGAACACAAGGAUUAAUAGAUGUUACCAGAUGCAAGGCAGAAGGAAACAGUUAUACGCUUAUACCUGAAGUGGGUGGCUGAGUAUCCCCGGAAGAUAACCUGAGUUUUCUUCCUAUCGACGUUUUCAUCAACCCAUCUAGCCCAAGUCCUGAGUGCCCUCCUGUAAGCAUCAUGUACCUUAAGUCUUGUGUGUACAAUAUUACCUUCCUGGUAAUAGUUUAGUCUGUUAUAUCAAUAAAAAAGAAAAAAUUAGUCACAGAUUUUACACUGAUACUUCCUAUUAUCAAGUCCUUUGCUCUGUAUGAAUUUAUAUAAAGACUGCUUAGUCUCCGCUUGACCAUACUUUCAAAUUUCUGGUUCACAGGUGUGUGGCACAGUGGUAUGUAAUAAUAUGGCUGGAAAAUUACGAAAAACUGAGGAAAAUAUGAAGGAAAUGCAUUAACCUCUUAGAGGUUUUAUCAUGCGACCACCAAUGACCUGUAUUGAAAAUCAGGUAAUCAGCAUUGUAAUAUUUUGAAGCGCUCUGAUCCAUUAGAUCCAGUCUUAGCGUCUCCAAAGAACCAUUCUUUGCCUCGAAAGAUGACUCUCUGACAAGGAAUCGAGAUGUUACAAAUUCCACAGUGCAAUCAUAGUCCUACAAAGAGAGCCAGAAGCAAUACUGGUAAGAUAAAUAAGUAAAUUGCUUUAGAUAAAUGUCAAAUGUUUAUGCUUGCCUCAAAUCUGAAUGCAUGAAAUCCUUGACUUCUGAACCCCUUUCCUCCUGAUGUCUCCUGAGCCUGUUUCUCAUGAAUUCGUUGCUUGUCCUUCACACUAUGUUGAAGUAUGCAGACAAGGGACUCCCACAUAUUCCUAUUCAGCGAGUCUCCAACAAAUACCAGUUUUUUACCUCUGAGUCUUUCCAAAAAGUCGGUUGCAUUUAAACUGCAAUAACGACAGCAGAAAACAAAGAAAUAUUGAUAGCUAUUUUGUAGUACUAUGCUAAGUUAAAUAAUUACAAUUUUGAGCACAAGUUGCUACAAUGUCAAUCAAUUUGUAUAAUACGAAAGCUAACUAUCUUGCAAUACAAAGACAUUGCAAAGUCCCGGGUACAGAUCAACAGAAAUUAGGGUAUUUACUACAGCAUCGGACACUAGUCACACUAGUUCUGCAACAUAGUUCACAGUGAGUUAAAAUUAUCUACCUGCUCUAGAAUUAGUUCAUCUUCCCUAAUGCUCCCACCUCCAAACUUUUACAACCUUCAGAAAACAACAAACGAAACUGAGUACUACAUCAAAGUAAUGAGCUCUUCACCAAGUUUCUUUAAGCCUUUAACAGCUAUAGUGAGGCAAAGGAUCUACGUCUUAAUCUCUUUUGACACACUACCAAUGGAUAUUGCCUCUUUAACACUACCAAUGGAUAUUAUCUUAUUGAGUCUUAACUCUACAUAUAUACGGUAUUUGUUAGGAUAGCUUGUAUAGUAAAAACACAUAAACAGGGGGGAUUCAAAUCUAUUCAGGGAAUUGAGACUAGUAGUACCUUGGGAUAUCACAAUCGUUUGGCUGCCAUCUCCAUUUCACAAACUCACUGUCCGGUCGCUUAUUGAGGUAACAAUCAAAAACUGUAUCAAUGUGAGGGCAAGUACCUACAGGAUAAUAUGGCUUUGUAUUGUCUCUAACCCACCUUCCAUCAAAAAUAUCACAUUUUUCCAGUGAACCUUUCUGCACUUCUGGAAUUUGGGAUUGUUUUGACCUACCAUUAACUUUUUCCGAAGAAAUUACAGGAAGCUUCACCUCAGAACUAGGUAGCAGUGCACCAUUCUCUCCAUUAUCCGACAAAUCACCAAUCUUAUCAUCACCACUUACCAAACUUGUCCCAUUACCAAAACUCAAACCGUCUCGGUAACCAACAGUAUCAUCAACUAAACUUGCAUUACCCUUAUCCUCCAAUUUUCCCACAUUACUUUCCUUAACAGUUACAUUUCUAUCCGCGACAAAGCUUCCAACUUUAACCAAAUUAGACAAAUUUCUCAAAGGGGCAUCCUCAAAAUCACC